rnacentral:rRNA from 1 species
GAUGAACGCUGGCGGCGUGCCUAAUACAUGCAAGUCGAGCGAACGGACGAGAAGCUUGCUUCUCUGAUGUUAGCGGCGGACGGGUGAGUAACACGUGGAUAACCUACCUAUAAGACUGGGAUAACUUCGGGAAACCGGAGCUAAUACCGGAUGAUAUUUUGAACCGCAUGGUUCAAAAGUGAAAGACGGUCUUGCUGUCACUUAUAGAUGGAUCCGCGCUGCAUUAGCUAGUUGGUAAGGUAACGGCUUACCAAGGCAACGAUGCAUAGCCGACCUGAGAGGGUGAUCCGCCACACUGGAACUGAGACACGGUCCAGACUCCUACGGGAGGCAGCAGUAGGGAAUCUUCCGCAAUGGGCGAAAGCCUGACGGAGCAACGCCGCGUGAGUGAUGAAGGUCUUCGGAUCGUAAAACUCUGUUAUUAGGGAAGAACAUAUGUGUAAGUAACUGUGCACAUCUUGACGGUACCUAAUCAGAAAGCCACGGCUAACUACGUG